rnacentral:rRNA from 1 species
CACGUAGGGCGCAAGCGUUGUCCGGAAUUAUUGGGCGUAAAGAGCUCGUAGGUGGUUUGUCGCGUUGUUCGUGAAAACUCACGGCUUAACUGUGAGCGUGCGGGCGAUACGGGCAGACUGGAGUACUGCAGGGGAGACUGGAAUUCCUGGUGUAGCGGUGGAAUGCGCAGAUAUCAGGAGGAACACCGGUGGCGAAGGCGGGUCUCUGGGCAGUAACUGACGCUGAGGAGCGAAAGCGUGGGGAGCGAACAGG